AGGAGAAACAACCCCAGUGGCGGUGGUCAGCUCUGGAGCCCUGGAUUCCGCCCCCGCAGUAACUCUUGAGCUCUCUGUCUGCAGGGCCUGGAGGCUCCGGGGCGGG
rnacentral:pre_miRNA from 1 species